rnacentral:rRNA from 1 species
AUACGGAGGGUGCAAGCGUUAAUCGGAAUUACUGGGCGUAAAGCGUACGUAGGCGGUUCGUUAAGUUAGAUGUGAAAGCCCCGGGCUUAACCUGGGAACUGCAUUUAAAACUGGCGAACUAGAGUUGAGUAGAGGGGAGUGGAAUUUCAGGUGUAGCGGUGAAAUGCGUAGAGAUCUGAAGGAACACCAGUGGCGAAGGCGACUCCCUGGACUCGAACUGACGCUGAGGUACGAAAGCGUGGGUAGCAAACGGGAUUAGAAACCCUAGUGUCC